rnacentral:misc_RNA from 1 species
UGUAUUUUUUAACCGACUUCCAAAAAAGGAGGAGGUUCUCAAUUCGACUGUAUUUUUUUUUUUUUAUUUUUUUUUUAUGUAUGUUACAUCAGAACUUUUGACCGGGUAGACCGAUUUCGACAAAUUUUGUUUUAAUCGAAAGGUGGUGUGUGCCAAUUGGUCCCAUUUAAAUUUAUUUGAGAUCUAACAACUACUUUUCGAGUUAUAUCUAAUAAUGCGUUUUUACUUGACGCUUUUUUCGUCGACCUACGUUGUAUUAUACCGCAUAACUUUCUACUGGAUGUACCGAUUUUGAUAAUUCUUUUUUUGUUGGAAAGGAGAUAUCCCUAGUUUAGUACCAUGAUAAGAAAACCAGGAUCUGAUGAUGGUAUCCCAGAGAAAUCGAGGGAAACUCUUGAAAAUCCGCAAUAACUUUUUACUGGGUGUACCGAUUUUAAUAAUUUUUAAUUUAAUC